rnacentral:misc_RNA from 1 species
GGAAGGAUCAUUCCAAACGAAUUAGCAAAUUGUUUCUGCGUCCUCACAGACAAAGGGAAAGUUUGCGCCUCAAUCUACGCUCCGUUGUAUUAACAACACUGUUUCUCUUUCCAAUCACGGUGCUUCCGCACUAGCAAAAAUGUUUUUUUUUCUAUCAUGUAAAGGAUCAUGACGGUGGAUACAUUGGUUUCUGGAACGAUGAAGAACGUAGCGAAACGCGAUAUUUAAUGCGAAUUGCAGAAUUCAGUGAAUCAUCAAGUUUUCGAACGCAGCUUGCAAUCAUUGGUUACUCCUUUGAUUGUGCUUUCUUGACAUGCACACUCAACAACAACUGGACCUAAACCAGUACAUGCCUUGACGAACAAGAGACCACUUUCCCUUGUCAUCAAAAGAUUUGCAUGUUAUCGUUGCCAAAGAUAUUAAGGCGCACUGGAAGUAUUCUCCCAGUUGCAGACUGUGUACCACACUUUGCAAGAUUUCUGGUUGAUUUGCUACAGGGCACCUUAAGGUGGCACAUAAACACGGCAUAUGUUGUCAGACUGACAAAAAACCACAAAUAUUUUUGUGUCAAGCAAAGCACGGCAACCCCCUGAAUUUAAGCAUAUAAAUAAGGGGAGGAAUGCAAACUAAACAGGAUUCUCAUAGUAACGGCGAGUGAACUGAGAAAAGCUCAAGUCUGUAAUCCUCUUGGUUUAUCCAAGAAGACAUGUGGCUUGUGGAGACAUGUCCAGAGUGUGGCCCAGGUCUAAGUUUACUGAAAAGUGACGCGAUGCAGGGUGAUAGCCCCGUUCAUGGCUUGGAGUUCGCCUCGUACGGACUGCUUUCUGAGAGUCGGAUUGCUUGGGAGUGCAAUCUUAAUGGGAGGUAAAUUCCUUCCAAGGCUAAAUAUAUCCAGAAAACCGAUAGAACACAAGUACCGCGAGGGAAAUGUGAAAAGCACUUUGAAAAGAGAGUUAAAAGUAUUUGAAACCGUCAUGGUUAAGCAAUGGGAUUUGUUGGUUCAUAUGUUGUGUUGUGCUGGCACGAGCGUGUAUGAGGGCAGAUUGAAUUGUGGCUUUCGGGUCUGUUCCUUCCGUCCCAUGCAUGCAUGUGUCGUGUGCAACGCUUCAUGAGUACGUAAGGACACUGGCUUGAGUCUUCACAAGUACUUGGUGAAGGUAGGUGUGUGAUUGCUUCGGCGUGAUCCCCGAUGGCACCUGGAUUCUGUCAGAACGGUCAGUAUCUUUGCGUAUAUACGAAUCCCAUUGACCCGUCUUGAAACACGGACCAAGGAGUGUAACGCUUGUGCAAGUGUUCGAGCAUUGAAAUCUCGAAUGCAAAAUGAAAGUGCAGGUGAGGAUUCAUCUUUACUGUGAUGUCCAUCCGUGUGUGUUGCGGAGUCAGCAUCGCCCGGCUUCUUCCUUUGUGAGAGGUUCGAGCUAGAGCACAAUCGAUACGACCCGAAAGAUGGUGAGCUAUACCUGCGCAGGGUGAAGCCAGGGGAAACUCUGGUGGAAGCUCGUAGCGGUACUGACGUGCAAAUCGUUCGUCUGACGUGGGUAUAGGGGCGAAAGACCUAUCGAACCAUCUAGUAGCUGGUUCCCUC